rnacentral:rRNA from 1 species
UGACAUGUUCCCGACAGCCGUAGAGAUACGGUCUCCCUUCGGGGCGGGUUCACAGGUGGUGCAUGGUCGUCGUCAGCUCGUGUCGUGAGAUGUUGGGUUAAGUCCCGCAACGAGCGCAACCCUCGCCCUGUGUUGCCAGCACGUCGUGGUGGGAACUCACGGGGGACCGCCGGGGUCAACUCGGAGGAAGGUGGGGAUGACGUCAGAUCAUCAUGCCCCUUACGUCCAGGGCUUCACGCAUGCUACAAUGGCCGGUACAACGGGAUGCGACACCGCGAGGUGGAGCGGAUCCCUUAAAACCGGUCUCACUUCGGAUUGGAGUCUGCAACCCGACUCCAUGAAGGCGGAGUCGCUAGUAAUCGCGGAUCAGCAACGCCGCGGUGAAUGCGUUCCCGGGUCUUGUACACACCG